UCUGUUGUUCAAUUGGCAAGAUGUCGGCAUAGCUGACGUUUGAAAGCGCAUUUUUAUAGCGCUAUGCUGCAUCUAGUCAGUUAUUCAAUGGA
rnacentral:pre_miRNA from 1 species